rnacentral:lncRNA from 1 species
UGCUUCAAGGCAUACCAAGGUAUUGGUGCAGGGUGUCCUCAAGACCAUCACAAAGUAGCAGCGCCUAAGCUGUGUUUCCAGGACACUGAGUAGCAGCUGGUCCUGACCCCUGAAACCCUGUCUGGGAGCACACAAUAAUGCCUUCUCAAAGUGCCCCAUGGCCUGUGGUUAGAGUGCUCAGGGCUACAGCAGGAGGCCCAUCCCAGUGGAGGCUGAAGCAGAAACCAGGGAGCAACAGGAACUCAGGCCCUGAGCUGGGAAGCCAGGCUCCUCCUGCACAGGCUCCAGGAGGACCUCCGAUCUGCUCUGCUAUAGUGGUUCCUUUGACUGCCACUCUGUUGUACCGAGCUUAUGGAGGGUUGCACACUGGGAAAUUUCAUAUAGGGUUUAGACCUUUUUAAAGAUGCACAACAAAGGAACUGUUGUGUGCCCUGUGAGGUGGUAAUGUGUGCCUUCCCCCACCUCACCACACUGUUUUUUCCAUAUGGACCCAGCUUUCCACUUGUGUCCUUCCUAAAUCCAAAGGCUCUUCCUUCCAUCUGUUCUCACUAUGUGGGAUCAGAAUUCUUAAUUUCAUUAGUUUUGAUUUGUACGAAAUGUUCAGGUAUUAUAGCAAUAUUAAAAGAACCACAGAUGUGUUAGUCAUUUACGAGAAAAGCUUAACCCUUUAACUCACUCUGAAAAAUAGAUGCUAUACCUAGUCAACCAGAUAUCUAGAAGUAACUAGUAAUCUGUCGUUUGCACAGUGACAUCCAGGUGUUACAAACUCAGUAUUAUUUAUAAAAAUUAUAAUUUCUAUUCUUUAGAGUGGCUUGUCCAAUCAGCAGAUGAAUGCACUAAGCACAAAGCGUCUUCCUUAAAGCACAAGAAGAGAGCUACUUCACUGAUGCUGCAUCUAGAAACACCUAUAAGUUGCCUUUCCUCUCUGUAGUAAGUGUCCAGGCAGGCAAGGGAAGACUAGGCAUGGGAAGUCUCCGGAGAGCCAUCCUGGCCCACAGCCCAGCCCAGCCCCUGCCAGUGUUGGUGACUCAAGCAGUCUUGAGGCUGUCCAGAGACU